rnacentral:rRNA from 1 species
CCUACGGGAGGCAGCAGUGGGGAAUAUUGCACAAUGGGGGAAACCCUGAUGCAGCGACGCCGCGUGCGUGAAGAAGGAACUCGUUAUGUAAAGCUCUAUCAGCAGGGAAGAAAAUGACGGUACCUGAGUAAGAAGCCACGGCUAACUACGUGCCAGCAGCCGCGGUAAUACGUAGGGGGCAAGCGUUAUCCGGAUUUACUGGGUGUAAAGGGAGCGUAGACGGCGAUGCAAGUCUGAAGUGAAAGGCGGGGGCCCAACCCCUGGACUGCUGUGGAAACUGGAUGGCUGGAGUGCAGGAGAGGUAAGUGGAAUUCCUAGUGUAGCGGUGAAAUGCGUAGAUAUUAGGAGGAACACCGGUGGCGAAGGCGGCUUGCUGGACUGUAACUGACGUUGAGGCUCGAAAGCGUGGGGAGCAAACAGGAUUAGAUACCCCUGUAGUC